GAGGGAUCACAAUGACAGUAACUAAAGUGAUUCAUGGAAUGAUGGAAUUCCAGUGGCUCCAUCAGAGUCUCGUAGAGAAAUCCAUCUCCAAGCAGAGCAGCAAGAAAUUGUAUUGAGAAAAACCUGAAUUUAUAGAUGCACAUCAGUCACUAACACAAAAUCACAUAGCAUAACACAGGACUAAAUAUGCAAACUAAUAUCAACAAACUCAGCAGAUAGGUAGAUAGAUAUUGAACAGAUAGAUUCAAACAUAUGAACAAAGAAUGUGAUAUGCAAACAGGAGGGAAAAAUACUAAUGGUAACUCAUUGGCUGGAACAAACGAACUCCUUCCUUCUCUACAGCCUUCUAUUUUGUCAUCUCAGAAGGGAAAAAUACUAAUGGUAACUCAUUGGCUGGAACAAACGAACUCCUUCCUUCUCUACAGCCUUCUAUUUUGUCAUCUCAGAAGAGAACCUCUUAUACUAGGCACGGUCAUCCUAGUGGGAGGUAACAGCAUUUCUGAAAAUGAGGCACAGAGGGGUUGAGAGAUGGGAAGCCUGGAAACCUGGGCCAAGAGAUUAUUCAAUUCUGCUGCAAAGAUGGAAGCCAGUCCCUGGGAGAAGCUCACCACAGUUUACUUGGGGAACUGUGUGUCUGAAAGGAAAGAGAGGUUCAGAAAGGAAAAGAAAGAACAUCAGAGAGUUAUGGUGAAUAUAAACUUUAAAAAUAUACAUGGAAGUGUUUAUUAAACAGAAAAUAAUAUUAAGCACACAAAAGGUGAAGAUGACUGCAUCUGUAGUGGUCAUAGUAAUGGUAAUGCAUGUGUGCAUGCUCAGUGGCUCAGUCAUAUCUGACUCUUUGUGACCCUGUGGUCUGUAGCCCACCAGGCUCCUCUGUCCAUGGGAUUCUCCAGGCAAGAAUACUAGAGUGGGUUGCCAAGCCCUCCUCCAGGGCAUCUUCCCAACUCAGGAAUUGAACCUGCAUCUCUCGAAUCUCCUGCACUGGCAGGUGGGUUCUUUACCACUAGAGCCACCAGGGAAGCCCAGUAAAGACAAUGGUUGCAACAUAUUGACCUAAACAGACAGCAUUUUUGCCAAUGACAAUAUGCUUCUAUUGAUAUUUAGCCCCAAGAAAAUCUUCCAUGAUCAUUCAGUGGGAUGAUAAUAAAAUCAAAACAGUAUUAAACAUUGGAAACACUGGACAAUCUCAUUGAACAGGACAUGAAUCUUUGAACCCCCUACUCCCUUUGAACAGGAUAUGAGUCACUGCAUCUCAGUCACAUUUUAUUGAUAUAAUUAUAUUGAUCAGUCAUAUGUU
rnacentral:lncRNA from 1 species